GACUGCGGUGGCGCGCGGAAGUACCUUAAAAGGAAGCAAGUCAUUCUGCUGCUGGCGCUGGUUGCUUGGUUGCGCACUGCGAGAUUAGGUGUGCGACAUUUGCAGUAACCUCGCGCUAAUUAUCUGCAACUGAACACGGAACUGGGUGUUCAAACGGAGGACGAUGUCUUACUACUCAUCAUCCCGAAGUUCCUCUCGGAACUUGGAAUGUAAAGUUUAUGUUGGAGACUUGGGUAAUGGAGCUGCAAAAGGCGAAUUAGAGCGGGCGUUCAGCUACUAUGGCCCCCUGCGCAGCGUCUGGGUGGCCAGGAACCCUCCAGGAUUUGCGUUUGUGGAAUAUGAAGACUCCCGUGACGCUGAGGAUGCUGUGAAGGGCAUGGAUGGAAAAGUACUUUGUGGAUCACGCAUACGGGUGGAGCUGUCUACAGGUUUGUCCCGGAAGUCUCGUUAUGGUCGACCUGGCCGCCGCUCUUUUGACCCAAAUGAUCGAUGCUACCAGUGUGGUGAUCGGGGGCACUAUGCCUAUGACUGCUACCGUUUCAGCAAGCGGGGAGGCAGUCGUCGCAGCAGGUCCCGUUCCAGAUCCAGGUCUCGCUCUAGGUCCAGGGGACGAAGGUACCGCUCGCGGUCUCGCAGUCGUAGCAAUGAAAGGAGGUACCGGUCACCAUCUUACUCCAGGCGCCGUAGCAGGUCUGCCUCUCCAGCACGAUCUAAGUCUAGGACUCCAGUACGGAGUCGUUCGCGUUCUCGCUCACGGUCUGCGUCACGUCCACGUGGUCGAUCUGCAUCCCGCUCCCGCUCCAGGUCACGCACCCCAAGUGCUAAGAGAAACAGAGUGUGGGAGUCGACGGCUCAAGCACUGACCAGGGUUCAUCCUUGCUGUGUAAAACGUCCUUCGGGAGGGUGAGAAAAUGCCCUGAGAUCAGCCUCCGCCAUGGUGGUUUCAUGAGGUCGUCCGACGCACGUUCUGACCAAGACGCUCCUAUCUGCACACACACACAGUUGUUCCACCUACCCCAUCCCCUCCCAGAAAUCCAUGCACUACUACUACCGACUACCACAUCUACUGCAAACCAGUGCUACGCUGAGAGAGAGCUCAGUCGACCAGUUAUGGCCCCCCACACCUUCAAAUCUGCGGCCUCAAUGCUUAGCUUCUCUGAGGGUGUGUGUGAGAGAGAGAGAAAGAGGGAAAGGAGAGCUGACGAGAGAUCAGACUUCAAGACCCUCCGAGUGUGUCUUCAAGUUCUAGCAUCCGUCGCUUCUCUGUACAUGUUGUUUCUGCCACUGUCUUCAAAGCCGUUCCCGCUCUCCCAGCCCGAAAAAGAGCCCCACUCCUGGAACAGACUGAGAUGAAACCUAACCCAAACCCCCUAUCUCCCUCUUCUUUUUUUUCCAAAGCUGUCUUCCCCCCUAAGGACUACUGUUUGU